rnacentral:rRNA from 1 species
GAUGAACGCUGGCGGCGUGCCUAAUACAUGCAAGUCGAGCGAACAGACGAGGAGCUUGCUCCUCUGACGUUAGCGGCGGACGGGUGAGUAGCACGUGGAUAACCUACCUAUAAGACUGGGAUAACUUCGGGAAACCGGAGCUAAUACCGGAUAAUAUAUUGAACCGCAUGGUUCAAUAGUGAAAGACGGUUUUGCUGUCACUUAUAGAUGGAUCCGCGCCGCAUUAGCUAGUUGGUAAGGUAACGGCUUACCAAGGCAACGAUGCGUAGCCGACCUGAGAGGGUGAUCGGCCACACUGGGACUGAGACACGGUCCAGACUCCUACGGGAGGCAGCAGUAGGGAAUCUUCCGCAAUGGGCGAAAGCCUGACGGAGCAACGCCGCGUGAGUGAUGAAGGUCUUCGGAUCGUAAAACUCUGUUAUUAGGGAAGAACAAAUGUGUAAGUAACUAUGCACGUCUUGACGGUACCUAAUCAGAAAGCCACGGCUAACUACGUG